rnacentral:rRNA from 1 species
CUAACCUACGGGACGCAGCAGUGAGGAAUAUUGGUCAAUGGGCUUACGCCUGAACCAGCCAAGUCGCGUGAGGGAAAACUGCCCUAUGGGUUGUAAACCUCUUUUGUCAGGGAGCAACGCCGGCUACGUGUAGUCGGACUGAGAGUACCUGAAGAAAAAGCAUCGGCUAACUCCGUGCCAGCAGCCGCGGUAAUACGGAGGAUGCGAGCGUUAUCCGGAUUUAUUGGGUUUAAAGGGUGCGUAGGCCGGCUUUUAAGUCAGCUGUGAAAGUCCGCGGCUCAACCGUGGAAUUGCAGUUGAAACUG